CUUCACCGACCCCAGCCACAACGGGCGAUCACGAUCAGCACCGUAAGCAGCCAACAGCGCCUGCGCCUC
rnacentral:sRNA from 1 species